AUCCCUGGGGCUCUAAGCAGCUAGGGUUUCGGGGCGGAAGGAGUGCUGCUGGAGCCGCACACAGGCGGGGCCAGAGCGGAAGGGCUUCCGGGGCAGGAGCUCAGGGUGAAGGAGCACUCUACCCUCUCUCCCCCGCCCUCCUGUCUCCUCCCAGGGGCCAAACCAAAGUGAAGCCAACUGGCAAGGGUGUCCACUGAUUUGUUUCACGGGCUCAGAGGCCCAGAGUAGGUCAAAGAAGGGGAGACCCUAAAUCAGAAAGGACAGAAAACCACAGCCUAAUGGCUCUCCUUGUGCACCCCACUGUUUUUCCCGGGAGUCUCAGAGACAGGGGACAACUUGGCCAAGGUCAGGUAGCAAGUUCAGAAAGGCCCCUCUCCUUUGGGGUCAAGGUUCAUUGCCUCCUGGGUCCAAACGGAAGGCAACCAAGUAAGGACAGCUCAUAGUUUCAGAGCUGCAGCUGUAAAUCCAAAUUAACCAGAAGGCGGCAACGGAACAAGGUCAGUGGCAGGCAGUACCGGGGAGGUUGAGCCCCUGAGAGCUGACAGUGCACCCUCCGUGUGUGGAAGGAAAAAUGAGUGAAAGCUUCCUUUGGAUGUCAGUGAUUCUUGGCUGUGUGUUCACAUUAAAAAGUACACCACCAGAAGGCCACCACUUUUAAGUGUUUGAAUUUGACAAGGUUAUUGGAUAAGCUUUACCUUAGGACAUUCGAUUGCCUCCACCAGCUUCUCUGCUAUAGACCCCUCAAUCACUUUCCAAGUGUCAACAGAAUCCUCAAAAGUCCUUUAAUUUGGGCCCAACGUCUUCCAUCAUGUUAAUAAAUGCACCAUAUUUCACUUCCACAGACCACCAUUCCAAGUAUUCUAAGAAGGACCUCAAUAAACUCCAAGGUGCUCUUGGCAGAGCCUGUGAGUGGCCCCAUGGCCCAGGCCUCCU